rnacentral:snRNA from 1 species
GGAUGUGAGGGCGAUCUGGCUGUGACAUCUGUCACAAUAAUUGCCAGGGUUGAUUAGACUGAUCUGCCUGGCUAGGCACGUGUCCCCUUCCUCCCUCACGGCUCCCAAGUACAUCCCAUCCCGAAGCUGAAGACUUGGUUGAAGAGGACGGCCUUCCCUGGAAGAGACCGGUAAUAAUGGAGAGAGGGAUUUAUUAGAGGUCUAGGCCCAUCAAGUCUGAUUGGAAAUCUCUGGACUCCCCGAAUAGGGCCCCAGCUGAUGGGUUGUCCUGAU